rnacentral:rRNA from 1 species
AACGAACGCUGGCGGCAGGCCUUAUACAUGCAAGUCGAGCGCAUCCUUCGGGAUGAGCGGCGGACGGGUGAGUAACGCGUGGGAAUGUGCCCUUCUCUACGGAAUAGCCACUGGAAACGGUGAGUAAUACCGUAUACGCCCUCAGGGGGAAAGAUUUAUCGGAGAAGGAUCAGCCCGCGUCAGAUUAGGUAGUUGGUGGGGUAAUGGCCUACCAAGCCUACGAUCUAUAGCUGGUUUUAGAGGAUGAUCAGCCACACUGGGACUGAGACACGGCCCAGACUCCUACGGGAGGCAGCAGUAGGGAAUCUUGGACAAUGGGGGCAACCCUGAUCCAGCCAUGCCGCGUGAGUGAAGAAGGCCCUAGGGUCGUAAAGCUCUUUCGCCUGUGAUGAUAAUGACAGUAGCAGGUAAAGAAACCCCGGCUAACUCCGUGCCAGCAGCCGCGGUAAUACGGAGGGGGUUAGCGUUGUUCGGAAUUACUGGGCGUAAAGCGCGCGUAGGCGGAUUGGAAAGUUGGGGGUGAAAUCCCGGGGCUCAACCCCGGAACUGCCUUCAAAACUCCCAGUCUAGAGUUCGAGAGAGGUGAGUGGAAUUCCGAGUGUAGAGGUGAAAUUCGUAGAUAUUCGGAAGAACACCAGUGGCGAAGGCGGCUCACUGGCUCGAUACUGACGCUGAGGUGCGAAAGUGUGGGGAGCAAACAGGAUUAGAUACCCUGGUAGUCCACACCGUAAACGAUGAAUGCCAGUCGUCGGAUAGUAUACUAUUCGGUGACACACCUAACGGAUUAAGCAUUCCGCCUGGGGAGUACGGUCGCAAGAUUA